AGAGGAGAGGAGUGAAUGUGUCAUAGCAACUGAGGUAUAAAUUACAGGCUGAUGUCGAUGAAGAGAGGAGACAAAAACACAAUCGAAGCAGAAUCUUUUUCUGGAUUGUUUACAAAAAUACUUAAGAGACAGGAGAUUUAUAUUGACGUCCACUGCUGCACUGAGAAACUUGAGAAACUGGAGAGAGCAGAGUCCUGCUCAUCGAAUGCAAUAGUUUAGUUUUAUGUUGAAGAAGUGUUUGUGUACAAAACGUGUACAGUCCUGGAUGAUUUCUGAACUCUUCUGCUACGGUAUGUUUUUCCCCCAUGGACUGAAAGGAAAAUGGACUUCUUCGAGGGAAAAAAAAAAUAUUCUUUUGCGGUAAUCAUGGACACGUCGUCCGCCAAGUAAUCAAUAGAAGGUGCCAGGGACUUCCAAACCUUCAACCAGCAUUGCCAGCUAUGCAAGAACGAGGAGGGGAGCACCAAUCAGAGAGCUUACCCAAACAAAUCAACAAUGAGCACUAUGAAUGUCUGAGAAGAAAAAAAAACUGCUAACAUCAAUCAUUUAAAAAUACUUUUUGCUCUCCUCUCUACAAUAAGAUUGUAAGCAGCUAAAAAUUCACAAAAAAGCCUUAAAAUAAUUAAAUAGAGUGCUAUGUUUGUGCCCAGGGUCUUCUUGGAUUGUUUUUUUGAGAAUUUAAUCAACAUGGAAAGUAAAAAAAGAAGAAAUGAAAAAUAACUUGCAGAACUGUGCCAGCAAGAUCCAAGUGGAAGUUAAGUUGACUUCUUUUAUGCAACACGGCCCAUGAGU